rnacentral:rRNA from 1 species
AGAGUUUGAUCAUGGCUCAGGAUCAACGCUGGCGGCGUGCAUGAGACAUGCAAGUCAUACGGACGAUCAAAGCUUGCUUUGUUCGUUAGUGGCGGACGGCUGAGUAACGCGUGGGUGACCUGCCCCGAAGUGGGGAAUAACUGCCCGAAAGGGUGGCUAAUACCGCAUGUGGUGGUGUAUUCGAUUACACCAGUAAAGCCGCAAGGCGCUUCGGGAGGGGCCUGCGUACGAUUAGCUCGUUGGCGAGGUAACGGCUCACCAAGGCGACGAUCAUUAGCUGGUCUGAGAGGAUGGUCAGCCACACUGGGACUGAGACACUGCCCAGACUCCUACGGGAGGCUGCAGUCGAGAAUCUUGGACAAUGUACGAAAGUAUGAUCCAGCGACGCCGCGUGGAGGAUGAAGGAGCUAUGCUUCGUAAAUUCCUUUUAUGGGGGAAGAAGAUCUGACGGUACCCCAUGAAUAAGCCACGGCUAACUACGUGCCAGCCGCCGCGGUAAUUC